rnacentral:rRNA from 1 species
AGAGUUUGAUCAUGGCUCAGGACGAACGCUGGCGGCGCGCCUAACACAUGCAAGUCGAACGGGGUUGAGAGGAGCUUGCUUUUCUUGACUUAGUGGCGAACGGGUGAGUAACGCGUGAGGAACCUGCCUCAAAGAGGGGGACAACAGUUGGAAACGACUGCUAAUACCGCAUAAGCCCACGGUCCCGCAUGGGAGAGAGGGAAAAGGAGCAAUCCGCUUUGAGAUGGCCUCGCGUCCGAUUAGCUGGUUGGUGAGGUAACGGCCCACCAAGGCGACGAUCGGUAGCCGGACUGAGAGGUUGAACGGCCACAUUGGGACUGAGACACGGCCCAGACUCCUACGGGAGGCAGCAGUGGGGAAUAUUGCACAAUGGGGGAAACCCUGAUGCAGCGACGCCGCGUGGAGGAAGAAGGUCUUCGGAUUGUAAACUCCUGUUGUUGGGGAGAAAAGAAUGACUGUACCAGAGGAAGAAGCACCGGCUAACUACGUGCCAGCAGCCGCGGUAAUACGUAGGGUGCAAGCGUUAUCCGGAUUUACUGGGUGUAAAGGGCGAGUAGACGGCAUUGCAAGUCAGAUGUGAAAACCUAUGGCUCAACCAUAGGACUGCAUCUGAAACUGUAGAGCUAGAGUGCAGGAGAGGUAAGCGGAAUUCCUAGUGUAGCGGUGAAAUGCGUAGAUAUUAGGAGGAACACCAGUGGCGAAGGCGGCUUACUGGACUGUAACUGACGUUGAGGCGCGAAAGUGUGGGGAGCAAACAGGAUUAGAUACCCUGGUAGUCCACACUGUAAACGAUGGAUACUAGGUGUAGGCAUGAAUGUGUCUGUGCCGGCGCAAACGCAAUAAGUAUCCCACCUGGGGAGUACGGCCG